CCUACGGGGGGCUGCAGUGGGGAAUCUUGCGCAAUGGGCGAAAGCCUGACGCAGCAACGCCGCGUGGGGGAUGAAGGCUUUCGGGUUGUAAACCCCUUUCAGCAGGGACGAAUCAAGACGGUACCUGCAGAAGAAGCCCCGGCUAACUACGUGCCAGCAGCCGCGGUAACACGUAGGGGGCAAGCGUUGUCCGGAUUUAUUGGGCGUAAAGAGCUCGUAGGCGGCUCGAUAAGUCGGGUGUCAAAUCCUCAGGCUCAACCUGGGGCACCACCCGAUACUGUCGUGGCUAGAGUCCGGUAGGGGAGCGUGGAAUUCCUGGUGUAGCGGUGAAAUGCGCAGAUAUCAGGAGGAACACCAGCGGCGAAGGCGGCGCUCUGGGCCGGAACUGACGCUGAGGAGCGAAAGCGUGGGUAGCAAACAGGAUUAGAUACCCCGGUAGUC
rnacentral:rRNA from 1 species